rnacentral:rRNA from 1 species
AUUGAACGCUGGCGGCAGGCCUAACACAUGCAAGUCGAACGAGUGGCGGACGGGUGAGUAAUGUCUGGGAAACUGCCUGAUGGAGGGGGAUAACUCCUGGAAACGGUGACUAAUACCGCAUACCAUCGGAUGUGCCCAGAUGGGAUUAGCUAGUAGGUGGGGUAACGGCUCACCUAGGCGACGUUCCCUAGCUGGUCUGAGAGGAUGACCAGACACACUGGAACGGAGACACGGUCCAGAUUCCUACGGGAGGCAGCAGUGGCGAAUAUUGAACAAUGGGGGAAAGUCUGAUGCAGCCUUGCCGCGUGUAUGAAGAAGGCUUUCGGGUUGUAAAGUACUUUCAGCGGGGAGGCGUUACCCGCAGAAGAAGCACCGGCUAACUCCGGUCCAGCAGCCGCGGUAAUAC